rnacentral:tmRNA from 1 species
CGCAAACGACGAAAACUACGCACUAGCAGCUUAAUACCCUGCUCAGAGCCUCUUUGCCCUAGCUUCCGCUUGUAAGACGGGGAAUUACAAAGAGUCAAACCCAAACUAGCUAGCCCGGAUUCUCCCGCCUGAGAGAUGAACGGCGAAUUAUAAUUCAGGAUAGUCAUUCAUUAGCGUGUCGGUUCGCAGGUGGGUGGUGAAUUUAAAGAUCGACUAAGCAUGUAGUACCAAUGAUGAAAGGUUUUCGGACGGGGGUUCAACUCCCCCU